UACGAAGGGGGCUAGCGUUGCUCGGAAUUACUGGGCGUAAAGGGAGCGUAGGCGGAUAGUUUAGUCAGAGGUGAAAAGCCCAGGGCUCAACCCUGGAAUUGCCUUUGAUACUGGCUAUCUUGAGUAUGGGAGAGGUUAGCGGAACUCCGAGUGUAGAGGUGAAAUUCGUAGAUAUUCGGAAGAACACCAGUGGCGAAGGCGGCUAACUGGCCCAUUACUGACGCUGAGGCUCGAAAGCGUGGGGAGCAACAGG
rnacentral:rRNA from 1 species